rnacentral:tRNA from 1 species
GCCUCGUUAGCACAGUAGGUAGCGUGUCAGUCUCAUAAUCUGAAGGUUGUGAGUUCGAUCCUCACAUGGGGCA